rnacentral:ncRNA from 1 species
CAGAGUAGGAAGACUUGCGUCAAGUGCAGUGGGAUGGGAAGUUGCCCGCUGACGAAAGAGACGGUGGACCCUGUGAAACCGUAAACUCUGCGGUGAGUCUCCCGCGUCCGCUGC